rnacentral:rRNA from 1 species
ACUCCUACGGGGAGGCAGCAGUAGGGGAAUCUUUCCCGCAAUGGGGCGAAAGCCUGACGGAGCAACGCCGCGUGAGUGAAGAAGGGUCUUCGGAUCGUAAAACUUCUGUUAUUAGGGGAAGAACAAAUGUGUAAGUAACUAUGCACGUCUUUGACGGUACCUAAUCAGAAAGCCACGGCUAACUACGUGCCAGCAGCCGCGGUAAUACGUAGGUGGCAAGCGUUAUCC